AUUGAACGCUGGCGGCAUGCCUUACACAUGCAAGUCGAACGGCAGCACGGUUGCUUGCACCUGGUGGCGAGUGGCGAACGGGUGAGUAAUACAUCGGAACAUGUCCUGUAGUGGGGGAUAGCCCGGCGAAAGCCGGAUUAAUACCGCAUACGAUCUACGGAUGAAAGCGGGGGACCUUCGGGCCUCGCGCUAUAGGGUUGGCCGAUGGCUGAUUAGCUAGUUGGUGGGGUAAAGGCCUACCAAGGCGACGAUCAGUAGAUGGUCUGAGAGGACGACCAGCCACACUGGGACUGAGACACGGCCCAGACUCCUACGGGAGGCAGCAGUGGGGAAUUUUGGACAAAGGGCGAAAGCCUGAUCCAGCAAUGCCGCGUGUGUGAAGAAGGCCUUCGGGUUGUAAAGCACUUUUGUCCGGAAAGAAAUCCUUGGCUCUAAUACAGUCGGGGGAUGACGGUACCGGAAGAAUAAGCACCGGCUAACUACGUG
rnacentral:rRNA from 1 species